UUUGUAGUUAGAUGUUCAAAAUCCAGCUCCUAAAAAAAAUUGCCAUCUAAUCCUCAAGAUUCUUGAAGUCCACAAAUAUUCAUUUUUCCAAUGUAAAAAAAUUGCCUGGAUGCUUGAAGUUUUACCCUGGAUGAUAUGUCAUCUGAAAAAACCUCAGCAAUUAUUUCGCAUUAAGCCAUGUAAUGCUCUGUAAAGUGGUGUUUCCCAGCCUGGGACUCAACCUGGUGUGUAAAAAACUUUUUUGAGAAUAUUUAAAGAUACCGAAGCUGAAGCAAACGGAGGGAUCAAAGUUGUUUGAAAGGGAGCAAGUAUGGAAAAACAGAGAAGAAAGGAGAGAUCUCUAUUAGGUGUGCCUGCCUGGACCUGAGUGCUGCUGUUGCAGGGGUACCAGGGGUCUCCACUGCCUGUAUGCCUGCCUGGCCAGAUCCUGGAGAGAGCAAUGGGGACCAGAGGGACCACAAGGGAA
rnacentral:lncRNA from 1 species